CGAUAUCGACGUAGUUUGAUCCUGGCUACAGAACGAACGCUGGCGGCAUGCCUAACACAUGCAAGUCGAACGAAGCCUUCGGGCUUAGUGGCGCACGGGUGCGUAACACGUGGGAAUCUGCCCUUCGGUUCGGAAUAACAGUUAGAAAUGACUGCUAAUACCGGAUGACGACGAAAGUCCAAAGAUUUACCGCCGAAGGAUGAGCCCGCGUAGGAUUAGGUAGUUGGUAGGGUAAUGGCCUACCAAGCCGACGAUCCUUAGCUGGUCUGAGAGGAUGAUCAGCCACACUGGGACUGAGACACGGCCCAGACUCCUACGGGAGGCAGCAGUGGGGAAUAUUGGACAAUGGGCGAAAGCCUGAUCCAGCAAUGCCGCGUGAGUGAUGAAGGCCUUAGGGUUGUAAAGCUCUUUUACCAGGGAUGAUAAUGACAGUACCUGGAGAAUAAGCUCCGGCUAACUCCGUG
rnacentral:rRNA from 1 species